GGCAGGGACCCAAGAACCACGGAUUCAGCACCAAGCAGUCGUGGGUAUUGUUCCUAGAAGAAGGUCGGCAGAACGCGGCUUCAGAAUUGAGAAAAUCAAGCCUUUUAUGGUAUUAUCAGGCCUGGUCACCCCCAGAGAAAUGCACUUCCCAGAGCCCCAACUAGACGGUAGCCACGCCCCCAAGGUCCUUGGAACCCUUGGGGAAGAUGACAAGUUAGCAAGAGGGAAAGAUUCCUAAACCGAUUGAAAUGAAUGGCUCCUGUACAGACAAACGGCAAAACAGAACACUUACCCUGGUAAGAAUGAGACUUUUGGAAACCUUGGAAGAAUGAAGUAACCCCAACGUGAUCUUCAAUUUCUCAAAGAGAUCUCUCAUUUCACCACGGCGGCGGCGCUCA